rnacentral:rRNA from 1 species
GUAGUUGAGUCCUGGCUACAGGACGACGCUGGCGGCGCGCCUAACACAUGCAAGUCGAACGGGGAACAGGGAAGAGCUUGCUCGGAACUGUUCUUAGUGGCGGACGGGUGAGUAACACGUGAGCAACCUGCCUGACAGAGGGGGAUAACGUCUGGAAACGGACGCUAAUACCGCAUAACAUCGGGAGAUGGCAUCAUUUUCCGAUCAAAGGAGCAAUCCGCUGACAGAUGGACUCGCGUCCGAUUAGAUAGUUGGUGAGGUAACGGCUCACCAAGUCGACGAUCGGUAGCCGGACUGAGAGGUUGAACGGCCACAUUGGGACUGAGACACGGCCCAGACUCCUACGGGAGGCAGCAGUGGGGAAUAUUGGGCAAUGGGGGAAACCCUGACCCAGCGACGCCGCGUGAGGGAAGAAGGUUUUCGGAUUGUAAACCUCUGUUUUCGGGGACGAUAAUGACGGUACCCGAAGAGGAAGCCACGGCUAACUACGUGCC